AUGUACAUUCCUACAACAUAAUGUUAAUGCACUAGAUCCCAUUAGAACUUUGAUGUUAAGCGUGCUCGGUCUAGAGUAGUACUGGGAUGGGUGACCGCUUGGGAAGUCCUAAUGUUUUACAUU
rnacentral:rRNA from 1 species